GACGAACCGAGCGAACGUUGUUCGGAAUCACUGGGCUUAAAGGGCGCGUAGGCGGGUGCUCAAGUCCGGGGUGAAAUCCCACAGCUCAACUGUGGAAUUGCCUCGGAUACUGGGUGUCUCGAGGGUGGUAGGGGUAUGCGGAACUAUCGGUGGAGCGGUGAAAUGCGUUGAUAUCGAUAGGAACUCCGGUGGCGAAGGCGGCGAUACUGGACCACUUCUGACGCUGAGGCGCGAAAGCCAGGGGAGCGAACGGG
rnacentral:rRNA from 1 species